UUUUUUUUUUUUUUACUUCUUUUUUUUUUUUCUUUUUUUUUUUCUUUGAUUUUUUAAAAAAA
rnacentral:ribozyme from 13 species